UGCAAACCCUAGUGAAGAUGUGGUUGGGCUGCCCUGAGAUCUGCAGCACAAUAUGCCUGUCACCUUAUUUCCAAAUAACGAUGUUACCUGCACUGCCUUUUUGUUUAGUAGCAACAUUGGCCAGAGCUGUUGCUCAUGGCACAAUCUGCCCACUCCAGCCCUGGCCCUGCCUGAGAGGGGGUCCCCUGCCAGGGGGUCACCUAGCACACUGAAAACCCCAUGUUAACAAGUGAGAUAGGCACCUAUGUUGGAGCCAGUGGCUAAAUUCAGGCCUUAAGCAUUGAUGGUGCUUUAAGAAGAUGGGGCUUAUGUCUGAGCUGUUUGGCUGUUCCAAAAAGUUCAGUGCUGUGGCUGUCCCGCCCUUUUUUGCUUGCAGAGGAGCCGUGCUGCUUGGCCAGGCCUUUGUAAGCACAGCUAAGUAGCUCUCGUGCCUGGCAGUCUUAAGUCAAUGUGGUAAAAAAGGAGGAAGCUGGGAAACAAAGAGGCAGAGAGGUGACAUGACCCAGAAGUGGGGACUUCACCCGCAAAUGUAAACAAAUUAGUAAUAAUUUAAUUAAGCGGAUCUCCCCAUGGGCUUGUCCUGGCCAACUCACAAAUCAAACUUCACCCAACCGUACUUAUGCUAUCUUAAUUUUAGCUAAAACAUAUUUGCAAAGCAUUUUGACCCAGUCUAGACAAUCCCUUACUGUCUUUCUACAACAAGUUGGUAUUUCCAAAUUAUGUGUCAUGCUGCCACAGUGUGACCAUUCAAGCCUGAUGUCUGUGUAGCCUGGAAAAGCUGUGGUUAUUUUGUGCUGGAUUGGGCCCAAAUUCAGUUGACGUAUUUUAAGUCACGUGGUACUGCUUGUUUCAUUUAUAAUCACGUGCCGUAUCUUUGGAAUGAUGCCUAAUGUUACAUUCCACUUGAUCUGGGGUAUUUUUAUUCAUAUGCCGUAUCUGAUUGAAAUGUAAUUGGCAAUAUACAAGGUAUGCAUGUAUACAUGUGCAGAUGAAUAAGCAUUUUCUUAGAUCUGUGGGAUUUCAGUUGCAUUCCGUGGGCAUGAUUCAUUUCCUCCUCUGAAACUCCGGCUAUUGGUGCUGAGGGUGUGGAGCUUGCCAGCUUUACAGGCCAAAUAGGUGGAGUCGUCCAGGACAAAGUUGGGCCACAGACUGUCUGAUAGAUACGCUGGAUCAGUGUAAUCCACAGGUCUUUUGAUCCACGUCUUUUCUGAAUGUUUCUAACUAUUCUUAUAUCUGUGCUGAUGAAUUCCUGGCCCUAGUAAGCACCAACUUCAUUAUAUUUCCCUGCAAGGACUACCUUAGCUAACACAGCUGCUGUCAUAGGGAAAAAGAGGACCAAAAAAUAGGGCCCGCUGCACUCUGAGAGGAGGUGCACAUCAAUGACAGCUGUCAUUCGUAACUGACACCUGGAUUCUGCCUGCAAAUACAUAACUAUAGCUGUGAUACACCUGUGAGCAUGAGAGCUGACAGCAGUAGAGUCAUACUGACAUAAAUUAGGCCCUUUCUAAAUCAGACAUUCCCACUUUACAGGUAGUUUUGGCCUACUAAUGCCAUAUUUGGUUCUGGGUGACUAUACGUAGGUGAGUGACGCAGAUCCUUGCACACAGACUUCAAGCAAGUGGCAUCUAAUAGGUAGAGGAGUAGUUUUCUUUCAGCUUGGUCCUACAGCAGUGCUAGGUAUAUAGUCUCCAUUCUCAUGAUUUACACAAUGCUAGUGCCACAUUAAUGUUGGUGGGCGAGUGUUCCUCUAUCUCAUGUGCUUGAUCACACUUCUAUUCCUACAACUCAUCAAAAGUCUAUUGUCCUGCUCCUCACAAAAAGUCAUGUAGUCAAAGGAAGUAAAAAAGGCUGUUACUAUAAUUUCCCAGUUGAAAUGUAUUUUAUUAGAAAUGUUAUUCUCUUGAUAAAACAAUGAUCAGUCUCUGAUUCUGCAGUGGUGUUUUAGACUUAAUUAAUAAAUCAUGCUUGCCACUUUUCAUUUAGGAAGGAUUUUACAGACAUAAUUAAUUAAACCUGACAGUAUCCUUGUGGGAUAAGUAAGUACUCCAACUUUUAAAAUACUAACACUCAGGCAAACUGAUUAUGCUGCUUUCUCAAAUCAGUGCAAGGACCAAGACUAGAAUUUAGAACUUCCUGCUACCAUGACAUAAUUUGAGAGAUGAGACUACCCAUCCUUUUCUUAUUUCAUUCUGGUAACCAUGCGUGUGAUGCCUGACUUGUUGGGUGUGGUUCCGUGGCCUAUAUAAUGCAGUGUGUUAGACUAGACUAUUUUCUGCUUAAAAUCUAUUACUUGAUUUAACUUGGAACAGAGGUUUUACAGUAUCUCUGUCUGGAACCAUCAUAUAUGUAACUGUCAUAAUGCUGCUGUUCAUUCGUUCAUCCUUAUUGUUUCCUCCAGUACAUACCAUUUUAAUAGUAGUAGCAGCGCUUUAUAGUGCUUAAUAACGGUCUGUCAAGACCAAGAUCACAUUAUGCAAGACUCUGUACUGAGAAAAGUUAUAAGGUAUUCAUUGGCCCUUGAUUUCUAAUCUGCACAUGAAAGAUGCCUGUGGGAGUGAUGAACACAAAACCAGUUGUUCACAAGGUACCCAGAUUAACAAAGGAUGGGUCAAAAGUUGCUCUAAUAAGUAUUCAAUGUUUCUCACUCCUGAAAAUGUUCCUAGACAUAGGCAAGAGAAGGGAUGAAAGGUAGCACUUAAAAUAUGAAACAUAUGUGUACGUUCCUUUUAGGAUAUUCUAAGUGUGCAGGGAUAUUAAUAAAGGUAGAUUUUGUCCACUGCAGUCACUUCAAGAAUUUUAAAACAUGCCUUUCAAGAGUGGGUUUUCUGUCUGCUAGACAGUCAGUCAUGUACUAUCGUAUAUACGGAGACUGGCUCAUCUGAAUAUAUAUUCUUUUACAUUUUAAUGGUAUCUCAAAGUGUAAGUUGCAGAUAAUGUAUUUGCAAGACUUAAAUGUGUUAUACUCUUUCAUAUUAUUUUUGCAUGGAGGAUCAGGAAAGGAUGAAAAGAAACCUUUGUGUGCAUAUUCUUAGGACAAUAAUUAAGAUGCCGUAUGACAUGAGGGAACAUUUUUUACUUCAGAUACUAUGACAUCGUACUGUUUGACAGAAAUGUAAUUAACCAUAAUGAAUCUAAGUUGAUAUUUGCAAGUGCAGCUUCCUGCCAAACAUCAGUAGUUGUCUGCUUCAGUUUCUGUGUUGUCAGUGCAAUGGGUAGAGACAGCCUGUUAAGAUACCUGCUACUGGGUUGGGAGCAGAGGGGAGAGAAAUACAAAUGUUACAUUACUUAUAUUAACCUUGUAUUAAUACAAUAACUACUCUUAAAUAUACUUAUUGUCUCACAGUGAGUGCCUAGAUAUCAUUUUCUGAACAAGUCUGUGGUAAAUAACUAUAUUUUAUUCUUCUUAUAGCCCACAGUUUGUAAUAGUGCAGCUACUUAGACAUAAUCUAGAUUUAAAAAUAGCUGUAAAACUGGUUUUGCCCUCACAUUAGUCCCUUUGUUGUGCUUUAAUAUCUUUGUCUCCAUCCUGUGCUGUGAGUCCUUUCAGGGAAGGAACAUGUACUGCUCUGUGCAUAUAAUGUAAUGAACCUGAGAAACCAAGGUCCCUUUUUGCUUGGCCAUAAGUAUCAUCAGCAUGGUCGGCCUUGUUAGUGUUAAUAAUAAUUUUAAAUUUGGCAGCAAUAAUUUGACAUGAAUUGGCUAGUUAGACAUCCAGGUAAUCUUGUAGGAGUUAAUACUUCAGAUUCUAGCUUUCCUUAACCUUGUGUUUCCUCUGAUUUGCUAGCCUUAGUGCUUAGGUUUGGUUUGCUCUGAUUAAUUUUAACUGAAUACAGAUGGAGAGCAGUGAAUGGGUUAGUUGUAGUGUACAGUAUAUUUUAUAGGAAAACAAUACCAAAAAUAGGUCUCUGCCUCUUUACUUUUGCUCUCCCUGUAAUGAAACUAAUUGCUUUUAAUUAUAGCUUGCAGAGACACUGUGCUGAAUUACUUAAUCUCUGUGUAAGGACUGGAUUCUGGUUUCUUAAUUGGCAUCUGAACGUUUGGCAACUUUGCAAAAAUCCAAAGCUAAGAGCGAGCAUACAGUAUGAGAUGUGUAUUAUGUACAUGGUAGCUCUCUAUUAUCUGUCAGACCCCUGUGCCUUAAAGGUCUUAAGGAACAGGAGAGAGCGAACAUUGCAUGCCCUUGCAAUGGGAGUUUUUCAUCCAGUUGUGGCACUGUUUGAAAUAAUUUGAAAACUCCUUGAAACAUUUGAAAACUCCUAGACCAAAGUAAGUUAUACUCUUCUUGAAACGAUCAGCUGAAGGAGAAUAAAAAAAAGAUUGGGUAUCUUAAUUUGUUUUCCAACUCAGGACACUCUAUGAUUCUCUGAGAUGCAAGUUGAUUGGAAAUGUUCCUUGCUAAAACUGAAGUUGCAUUUCCAGUAGUUGGGAGUAGCUCCCAAAUUACAUUACCCCACCCACAACUCCUUGCUUUCGGUUUACCUGGGGAGAUUCUACAAGGAAGCUAAAAGAGAAAAGGAGGACAGCAAGAAAAGGGAGAGCACACAGGACAGGUCUAAAAAGACAGAAAUUUAAAGCAGGGUGCCUCAAGCAGGUAAACCCUCAUUUUGAAUUACCUUCAGCAGAGGUAACACAUGGUUACACUGGGCGUGGAAUGUUGUGGGUGUUCAUAAAUCCUGUUUAAAGCAAGAUCACGUCACUGAUUUCUUCGUCCCUUGCUAAAAAUGUUAUCAGCCAGAUCCUCAGCUAGCGUAAAUUUUCAAAGCUCCAUUGGCUUGAAGGAGAAAUGUCUUAAGGAUCCAGUCUGUAGUGUGGAGAGGCCUCAUUCUUUGGGUGCUGAGUUUGACGUGGCUUCCUUUUGACUGGCCCAUUGUAAGCCCCACUUAUAUUCAGAUAGCAUUCUUGUAAUAGGAAUAUUUAUCUCCUUGUGUAGAGAAUGUUCUGCUAGCUUAAAGAGGACCUACAAAUUAAUAAUAAUGGAUGCAGGGUUUUAUUAGUUUCUCUUUAAAAGAAACCAUACAAAUAAUUUUUAGGGAAAAUGGUUGGAUUUUUUUUUGUUUUAUAAAGUAAGCUCAGGUUGGAAAACACCAACUUAAUUACAUUACAGACUUGUGUAUCUUCUUGUUGGCUCAAUAUUGGAAUAGUUCGCAAUUUUGUUUAUACAACAUCUUCUCACACCCAUACAACUGAAAUUAAAUUGUUAGUAUGGUGUUUAAGGAAUGUCACUGGUGUAUUUUGGACUCCCCUCCAGUGUUUCUUCUAAUCCUUUCCAAAAUAGAGGUAAUUAUGCAUCAUCCGUGAGGAAUUUGUAAUACAGCGUACUAUGCCCCUUGAGGAUCUUAAGCCAUAUAUAUGUGAGGCCUGGAAAAAUCAUGUCCUCACAUGGUUAUAUUUGAAUAUUAGCAACACGACAAUGAUACAGCUGUGCAUUUGUUCCUUCGUGUUCCUGUCUGACUUGGGCUGUGGCCUAGAAGUGAUGUCGGUGUCAGAAUAUGUCAGAUCACUUGUUUCGCAAAGCAGGGCCACGAAGAAGUCUUGCUAGCAUGUGAAAGUCACAGAUGGAAAAUCAUGUUGAUGAUGGUUGUUUUUUUUUCUCCCCGUUGUUCUUUUGUAGCAGGAAGUUACAGAAGCAGUUUAUCAGGAGAAGCCUUCAUGCCACUCGAACUGUCUCUCACACCCGCAGAACUGGGCAUGGCACUGAAGCACCUUCACCGCAUGGUUCGUGCGGGCAGCCCUUUCCCUGUAAAGGCUCUACAGGUGAUCUUGUGGCUGUCAUAACCGAGGAUCUUAAAUAUUGCAGAUGUGGUGAGACCAAUCUUCCUGGCCCUCUGAGCCACAUACCAAAAUUUAGGACUGCCAGACAGCCAGCUUGUUCUUCAGUGAACCAAGGGAGAAGGGCACCAUGUGCUUUUUGCAGGUGGGAAAUGACGUGGCUCCCAGGAAUGCUAGCUGUCCAUUGUGGGUCAGGGCUAGGCCAAAGGGUGUAACUUCAAGGUGUAACGAAGUGUAAUGUCAACUUCAGUAGCACCUGAUCAAUUACUCCCUCUCACAGUGGGGGUUUAUCCUACAGAAGCACAGCCCAUCUGUUGGAUGUGGGACAGAGUGCCAGCAUGGGAGCUGUGCUUGAAAACCUUGUAGCCCAGGGGAAGCAGGCUGGCAACCUCCCCUGUAGUUCUUUGUUGCUGAGGUUCCAAGUGGUGGUUCUUCUCUGUCUCUGCCUUUAGAUCUGUGCUCUGUGCCCCUUGGUCCCUUAUUAAACCCAGCCGAUGUUCUCCACUUUAGUUGUGUAGAUUGUGGCUUGUAUUUUAACAUCACCAUACACUUUAAGUAGUAGUGCCCAGGACUCAGCCUACAAAAAUUGUCAUGAGUCCCCACAGAACUUAGGAUUUGCAGAAUCAUGCAAUGUUUGCACAUGCUAAAUUUGUGCGUUCUCGUCUACCUUCUACUGCUAUUUGUUUGUUUUGGUGGGUUUUGAGCUGCUGGGGAAUCAAGCUCGUCUGUGCAAGCACAACUGCCUGACACUUUCUUUGGAAUUCAAAAACAAAAGAUGAGAUUUUGAUGUUAUCACCUAUCUGCAGGGGUUUGGGGCUUUUGCUAGAGCUCUCAAGACUCACCGUAAAACUGAAGAGGGAAUUUUAUCAGCAACUGGCUAAGACAUAUGAAGAAUUGGUGCUGCCUGAUAAAUUCUUCUUGUACGCACAGGAUUGCUGGACUCCUUUAAAGCAGCUGCGCCCCAUGAAAGUGGCUUUGCAGUACCCACAAAGAGAGUGAGGCUUGGCAGGCGCUGUUUGAUCAGAAGGAACUACCUAUUGCCACAUCGUUCCUUUGUACCCUCGCUUCCGCUCUCUAUCACAAGAGACGACGUGUGGUCAGAGUGUGUUUGGGAGCCAGGAACUUCUAAUUCUGGUUCUAACACUGUUGUCUUCGUGAUGUGAAAGCAGGUAUAUGGGCAUUUUUAAAGGAUUUUUAAAAAAUAGCCUCUAAUUGGGGUGCCCACAUCUGGCUAUGUAGUCAAAGGCAUACUAGGCCUGAUUUUCAGAAGUGGUAAAUACCCGUGAAUCCUUUCAUUCUCAGCUGGGACUGUAGAUACUCAACAAUGAGUAGUCAGGGCAAAUUAGUUAUUCUUUAGAAGGUGUGAACGUGAAUUGGGCUACAUAAGUUUCUAAGCAUUUAGGAAACUAAUGAGCAGCACUAAUAUUAAGGACUGUUCUUAAUAGCAACUGCAGUUUUCACAUUGAGAUGCCUUAUAAGAUGCAAAUUCAAGAAGAGGAGGAGGAGUAAUGAAGAAAAAUGAUGUAAAAAUUCAGUGCAGUAAAGUACAGUUUACAGAGUGUGUGACUUCCAAAGAAUAUUGGGAAAAUAGGAAACUUUCAUUUCUUUAAAAAACCCCAAAACUGUAGUCUCAUAAGACUGAAAAUAACUUAGUGUUAUUUGCUGUUGCUUUAAAAUACACAGUCUGCUACUCCGUCUUCUCUUUCCCUUUCCCUUUUCUGCCCUCAGGAGACUGGCUCUCCAGAAAGUAGGUUUUGAGAUUUGGGAGUAGUUAAGAAAGAUGGUGGAAUGCUUCACAACUUCACAACUGCAUUAGGGUCAGGAAUAUUAUUUUAGUUUCUGAGACCCUUCCUCAGCUGACUUUCACAAAUGAGGCUUGUGAAGCAUCAGUGCCAUUUCAAGACAAUCUUACUCUUGUGCUUCUAUAUGGAAGAAGCAGAUCUAUUCUGGAAGUAACCAGUCAACAGAAUAUUGUUCCAAAUAAAUUACAAUAUUGGGCAUCAUACGCGAUAUUUUGGUCUGGUGUUUGCUCUUGGAGCCUGAGUACUGUGGUCUAUGCUGUCUGCACUGUACUGAAGUAUGGCUGAGUUUCACUCUGACUCCUAUCCCCAGGGGCCUUGUGAAGAAGAGAUUCAUAUCUCAUGGGAUUAUCCCACAGAGCAAAGAAAUGAAAUAAAUAGUACUACUUUCUUGGUUCUGUCAAGUAUAGUAGCUCAUAGAGCCUUUCAAGGCAGUGUCAGCACGGGAUAGAUAUUGCAUCAGUGCAUAAAAAGACAUCCUUUACAAGAACAGCACUGCAAAAUGAGGCCAAUGUGAGCCUAAUGGGUGGUGGAAAACAGUGAGCCUUUUUUUUUUUUCUCUCUCUUUUUCCCUCCCUAAUGCAAGCCUGCAGGGGUUUAUUUUCCAGUGUGUGUGAGUCUUGGGGCAAAUCAGCUUACUGAAAUUCUUCUACAACAGGAGCUCCGAGGAAACCACUGUAGUAGUAGGGAUCUUUUUUGGGAACCAAUUAGAGCUUGUGCUGGUUGUUCCUCCUUGGCAGCUUUAAUGAAUCUAUCAACAGAGAAGUACUAGGAAAUAAAGGAUUUUACAGUAGUCUCUGUUAGGAUGAAGCCCACGGGCUCUCCAGUUCCUUCCACAGUACAAUACAAUGCUUCAAAAAGACGGAAAAGGUUGUUAUGAUAACUUAGUCAUGUGUGAAUAACCAGGAGAGCUAAAAUGAGUUUAAUAAUUUUACUGUACUGUAACUUUAGGAAGAAAUAGUCCCCAGAACAAUUCCUGUUCCCUGUACUGCAGAAAAUCUUGGGAAAGCCCACGUGAAAUGUGUCUGUCAAUGCAAACUAAUUCAAGCAGGUACGGUAAAUUUCAAAAUCUUGUAUUAUCAUUACAGAGUAUAAACUCCCUUUUCUUUUUAUUUGUCCACCAGUCCUUUCACCCAAUGCCUUAGACAUAUUUUUAUAACUAAAUUCCACAGCAUAUCUCUGAAAUACAUUAUGACAUUUGAUCAUAUUUUAUCUAAAAAUCCCAGAUACUCCUUGUGGUAUCAUACAAUUCCUAGUCUUUGGCAAGGCUCUACAAUAACCUCACAAUUAUCUGUUGUACCCUAUACCCUAUCUGGUUUCUCUUUCAGUUAACCCUUGAGUGCACUCCAAACUGAUAGUAUCUUUUAAGAAAAAAGUGUAAUACUGUCCUGAGAAAUGGAAGAAGAAAAGGCAUAAGCUUAGAGAAGGAGGAGUUGUGACUGUAUAGCAGCUGCAGCCAGAAACUGGAUGGCAGGCUAGCCAGGACGGGAUUGAGGAUGAAGCAGCCCUGGACUGGACUUUUAAGGACGGAGGUUGGAAUUGGCUAGGAAAGACCCUCAUGGCUGGGAGCUGCAGAAGGAAACACAGCAGCACUCUACCAGCUACUAUGGAGAAAAUUAACUUUAUCCAGCCAAAACCAGGACAAUCAGAGAGUCUUUGGAGUUUGGUGACAAAACAAAC